CGGAAGGAUGCUGACACGGAACAGGAAACAGCCAAGGAUUUGGUUAUCUUCAGGAUGAAGAUUCGGUUAUUCAGGACGAGUGACCAGCACGGAGCAAAAAAGGACAUUGAACGGACUCAAUCGUUAUUAGGAUGAUAAAGGCAAGGAAGGCAAUGGACACCUCUAGGAUGAGGAAUGGAACUGGCAUCAGGACGAUGAAAGGGACACCGCUCAAGGAACAAGUGAGUGCGCUAACGAGGAUUGUUAGCAGAUCAGGAUAAGAUCAUUGGACACCGCUAGGACGGCGAUGAAAAGGAUUGUGCUGAAGGACACAGCGCUGCUAUCAAGGAUUUGAUGCAUGGAGCAACAUUAGUAGCCGGAUUGCUGCGAGUAAGAUUAUAACCCCGAUGGGCUUUGCCCUCGGGGUUUUUCUUUAUCUA
rnacentral:other from 1 species